GCGAGCUGGGUUUAGAACGUCGUGAGACAGUUCGGUCCCUAUCUGCCGUGGGCGCUGGAGAACUGAGGGGGGCUGCUCCUAGUACGAGAGGACCGGAGUGGACGCAUCACUGGUGUUCGGGUUGUCAUGCCAAUGGCACUGCCCGGUAGCUAAAUGCGGAAGAGAUAAGUGCUGAAAGCAUCUAAGCACGAAACUUGCCCCGAGAUGAGUUCUCCCUGAGACUUAGAGUCUCCUGAAGGAACGUUGAAGACGACGACGUUGAUAGGCCGGGUGUGUAAGCGCAGCGAUGCGUUGAGCUAACCGGUACUAAUGAACCGUGAGGCUUAACCUUACAACGCCGAAG
rnacentral:rRNA from 1 species